GUGAGGAAUUUUGCGCAAUGGGGGCAACCCUGACGCAGCGACGCCGCGUGGAGGACGAAGUCUUUCGGGAUGUAAACUCCUGUCAGUGGGGACGAUAAUGACGGUACCCACAGAGGAAGCACCGGCUAACUCCGUGCCAGCAGCCGCGGUAAGACGGAGGGUGCAAGCGUUGUUCGGAAUUACUGGGCGUAAAGCGUACGUAGGCGGCAAGUUAAGUCCAAUGUUAAAGCCCACGGCUCAACCGAGGAGAUGCAUUGGAUACUGGCUAGCUAGAGGGUGUUAGAGGAAGACGGAAUUCCCAGUGUAGCGGUGAAAUGCGUAGAUAUUGGGAGGAACAUCGGUAGCGAAAGCGGUCUUCUGGGACACACCUGACGCUGAGGUACGAAAGCGUGGGGAGCAAACGGGAUUAGAUACCCCAGUAGUCC
rnacentral:rRNA from 1 species